rnacentral:rRNA from 1 species
AGAGUUUGAUCAUGGCUCAGAGUGAACGCUGGCGGUAGGCCUAACACAUGCAAGUCGAACGGCAGCACAGUAAGAGCUUGCUCUUAUGGGUGGCGAGUGGCGGACGGGUGAGGAAUACAUCGGAAUCUACCUUUUCGUGGGGGAUAACGUAGGGAAACUUACGCUAAUACCGCAUACGACCUUCGGGUGAAAGCAGGGGACCUUCGGGCCUUGCGCGGAUAGAUGAGCCGAUGUCGGAUUAGCUAGUUGGCGGGGUAAAGGCCCUUCAACGGGACGCUCCGUAGCUGGUGUGUGCGGAUUCUCUGCCCCUCGUUUUCCGGGACACAGCUCUGACUCCUGACUG